rnacentral:rRNA from 1 species
GCCUAUGGGCAUACCGCCCCGAGUGCACCUGAGCGCAUCUCAUCUCGAAGCUAAGCAGAGUGGGGCCCAGUUAGUACUUGAGAGAGGAAAAUAUAAAAUUCUUGCUAGGAGUAUAUAUUCA